CCUACGGGCGGCAGCAGUGAGGAAUAUUGGUCAAUGGACGAGAGUCUGAACCAGCCAAGUAGCGUGAAGGAUGACUGCCCUAUGGGUUGUAAACUUCUUUUAUAAAGGAAUAAAACGAGGCACGUGUGCCUUUUUGCAUGUACUUUAUGAAUAAGGAUCGGCUAACUCCGUGCCAGCAGCCGCGGUAAUACGGAGGAUCCGAGCGUUAUCCGGAUUUAUUGGGUUUAAAGGGAGCGUAGAUGGGUUGUUAAGUCAGUUGGGAAAGGUUGCGGCUCAACCGUAAAAUUGCAAUUGAUACUGGCAGUCUAGAGUACAGUUGAGGUAGGCGGAAUUCGUGGUGUAGCGGUGAAAUGCUUAGAUAUCACGAAGAACCCCGAUUGCGAAGGCAGCUUACUAAACUGUGACUGACAUUGAUGCUCGAAAGUGUGGGUAUCAAACAGGAUUAGAUACCCGGGUAGUC
rnacentral:rRNA from 1 species